GCCGGGAUGGAGGAACGGAAGACUCGGUGCCCUCAAAAGGCACUGUCCGAAAGGACGUGUGGGUUCGAAUCCCACUCCCGGCA
rnacentral:tRNA from 1 species